GGCUGGGUAGCUCAGUCGGUAGAGCAGCGGACUGAAAAUCCGCGUGUCGCCGGUUCGAUCCCGGCCCCAGCCACCA
rnacentral:tRNA from 1 species